rnacentral:rRNA from 1 species
GAUGAACGCUGGCGGCGUGCUUAACACAUGCAAGUCGAACGGUAAGGCCCUUCGGGGUACACGAGUGGCGAACGGGUGAGUAACACGUGGGUGAUCUGCCCUGCACUUCGGGAUAAGCCUGGGAAACUGGGUCUAAUACCGGAUAGGACCACUGCCUGCAUGGGUGGCGGUGGAAAUCUUCUGCGGUGUGGGAUGGGCCCGCGGCCUAUCAGCUUGUUGGUGGGGUGAUGGCCUACCAAGGCGACGACGGGUAGCCGGCCUGAGAGGGUGACCGGCCACACUGGGACUGAGAUACGGCCCAGACUCCUACGGGAGGCAGCAGUGGGGAAUAUUGCACAAUGGGCGCAAGCCUGAUGCAGCGACGCCGCGUGAGGGAUGACGGCCUUCGGGUUGUAAACCUCUUUCAGCACCGACGAAGCGCAAGUGACGGUAGGUGCAGAAGAAGGACCGGCCAACUACGUGCCAGCAGCCGCCGUAA